rnacentral:rRNA from 1 species
UACGGAGGAUGCAAGCGUUAUCCGGAAUGAUUGGGCGUAAAGCGUCCGCAGGUGGCUAUGUAAGUCUGCUGUUAAAGAGUGAGGCUCAACCUCAUAAGAGCAGUGGAAACUACAUGGCUAGAGUGCGUUCGGGGCAGAGGGAAUUCCUGGUGUAGCGGUGAAAUGCGUAGAGAUCAGGAAGAACACCGGUGGCGAAAGCGCUUUGCUAGGCCGCAACUGACACUCAUGGACGAAAGCUAGGGGAGCGAAUGGG